rnacentral:rRNA from 1 species
UAGGGAAUCUUCGGCAAUGGACGGAAGUCUGACCGAGCAGCGCCGCGUGAGUGAAGAAGGUUUUCGGAUCGUAAAGCUCUGUUGUAAGAGAAGAACGAGUGUGAGAGUGGAAAGUUCACACUGUGACGGUAUCUUACCAGAAAGGGACGGCUAACUACGUGCCAGCAGCCGCGGUAAUACGUAGGUCCCGAGCGUUGUCCGGAUUUAUUGGGCGUAAAGCGAGCGCAGGCGGUUAGAUAAGUCUGAAGUUAAAGGCUGUGGCUUAACCAUAGUAGGCUUUGGAAACUGUUUAACUUGAGUGCAAGAGGGGAGAGUGGAAUUCCAUGUGUAGCGGUGAAAUGCGUAGAUAUAUGGAGGAACACCGGUGGCGAAAGCGGCUCUCUAGCUUGUAACUGACGCUGAGGCUCGAAAGCGUGGGGAGCAAACAGGAUUAGAUACCCUGGUAGUCCACGCUGUAAACGAUGAGUGCUAGGUGUUAGACCCUUUCCGGGGUUUAGUGCCGUAGCUAACGCAUUAAGCACUCCGCCUGGGGAGUACGACCGCAAGGUUG